AGGGAAUUUUCCGCAAUGGGCGCAAGCCUGACGGAGCAACGCCGCGUGAGUGAAGACGGCCUUCGGGUUGUAAAACUCUGUUCUUGGGGAAGAACAAAAUGACGGUACCCAAGGAGAAAGCCCCGGCUAACUACGUGCCAGCAGCCGCGGUAAUACGUAGGGGGCAAGCGUUAUCCGGAUUUAUUGGGCGUAAAGCGCGCGCAGGCGGUCAGGUAAGUCGGAUGUGAAAGGCUACGGCUCAACCGUAGAGCGGCAUCCGAAACUGCUUGACUUGAGUGCAGGAGAGGAGAGUGGAAUUCCCGGUGUAGCGGUGGAAUGCGUAGAGAUCGGGAGGAACACCAGUGGCGAAGGCGACUCUCUGGACUGUAACUGACGCUGAGGCGCGAAAGCGUGGGGAGCAAAC
rnacentral:rRNA from 1 species